CAAGGAUCUCUCUGAGGAAACUGCCAGCGAUGAGCUGGAGGGAAGGUGGGGAUGACGUCAAGUCAUCAUGGCCCUUACGUCCAGGGCGACACACGUGCUACAAUGGCAGCUACAGAGGGUCGCAAUACCGCGAGGUGGAGCCAAUCCCUAAAAGCUGUCUCAGUUGGGAUCGGAGUCUGCAACUCGACUCCGUGAACGCGGAAUCGCUAGUAAUCGUGGAUCAGCCAUGCCACGGUGAAUACGUUCCCGGGCCUU
rnacentral:rRNA from 1 species